GACGCGACGUGCAGAGAAUCUGGCCAGCCCCGCGCAGCCACGGCUGCGGCCCGGGCCCACAGUCGGGUGGGAGUUGGGGGGGCGGGGCGGUGCGCAGGGCCCUGGCCCACUGCUCGCGGCCGGAGACCCAGAGGGCCUCGUCCGCACCCCGACUCUCUCGGGGGACGCAGGGACGCCAGGGCCCUCGGGUCUAAGGCACUUUGGGGCUCUCCGGGCCUGGGGGCACCUGGGCAUGCCAGGCUCCCACCCGGCGCCGAGGGGGACGGGCUCGCCCCCUUCCCGGGACGUGAGGUGAACGGCUGAGCCCCCGUCCGAGCUCAGAUGGGUUCCCUCGCCACCUUCCGGACGAAGUGUCAAGUACAAGUUCAAGUUCAGGGCUAGGCCCGGGGGGCUCCGAGCCUUCCCCGGCUGCCUUUGUUCUUCCAGAUAAUCGCUCCCAAGUCCCCUCCGGGCGGGGCCCGACAGACGCCCCCGCCCCGCCCCACCGCGCCCCGCAGGAGCCGCCUCCUCCCGCCGGCCCGGCGCCUGUCCCCUGGUCCCGGCGCCCCCGCUCGGGGCCACCGUAGGUCUGGGGGCUCGGGGCGGGGGGAGGCGCGAGCCGCGUCCGUGGGAGCCUCCCCAGCCCCGCAGUCCCAGCUGCAAACCGAGCUUGGUCGGACGGACCCUCGCGCUGAGCCCUUCCUGCCACCUCCGCGCAGACCGGGGAAGAGGUAAAGCUCGGAUCCCUGUCAGCAUGAGGUGAGGGCGCCACGUCGGAACUGGCUUGAUCAUGACAUUCCUGAUUCUGCUUCUGGCCGCACCACGUUUUCUCCAACACUGCCAGGUGGUAUCGGGUCCACAGCCGAUAGAAGAGCCCUGAAAGGUGAUUCAUUCCAUGGCUCAAAAUUCAAUAUGAACAAAAUGCACACAAUGCCUGUGCAUACCUCUGCCUCCAGUCAGAGCACACGUCCACUGCUCCUGGCUUCUGCGAUUUCUCCAGGGCUCAGCUUCCUUGGCUCUGCAUGCUGUGCUGGCACUCUCUCUCCUGCUCAUGGAAGCAAACAGUGCAAACACUGGCCAGUCACUGUCUGCUUCCCUGUGAGUCUCCCCCGCCAGGCUGUGCGGUACCUGAGGACAAGAGGUCGUACCUUACUCAUCUGGAAUCCCCAGGGCCGGGCAUGGUGCCUGGCAUAGAGAGGGCGCUCCGCAAUCUUUGCCCAGUAGGCUUGGAAGGGGCCCGUAGGCGCUUUGCCACAGCGGCACCUCGUGGUAGACCUUGGAAGUGCAGCGAGGAAGAGACCUUGGGGCGAGGGGCGGGGGUUGCACAGGCUUCAGAGAUCCCCUGGGGUCUGAAUAGGAGGCGCUCCCUAUUGGUCCGCUCCAGAUUCCAUUUUGUCUAACGGCACCCAACCUGGACAGAGCCCGGUGGGCGGUCACCCACCUUUCCAUCACCAGAACUGCUGUUCGCUGAGACCAACCCACCCCAUGAUCGGCAGCUUGGGGCAUUUAGCAGUGUGUGCGUGUGGUGUGUGCGCACGCACGUGUGUGCUGUACUCGUGUGUUUCGGGGCAUGGCUCGCAUAUCCCUGUACAGAUACUUAACACCGUCCCUCUUCUAUAAGACGAAAUUAUUGGCAGUCAUUUCAAUAAUCAUGAAAUGAAUAGCAGUAAAUAAAUGGCAGGCAGCCAAAAUUUUCUUUUAUUGAAUUUUUUCUAUAAGCUCACGCCAUUUCAAAAAGAAAUUACAAAUACAAGAAUCAUGAUAGUACAAAAAAGGAAGACGCGGACACGUACUUUUACAUUAUUUUUUUAAAAGGGAGGGACAUAUACCCAUAUAUUGCCGUGUCCCAGUAUUGAAUAAAAUUACAUUAGAAUUAAGUAGGAACAAUUUAAAAAGAAGACACUUCCCUUUUAAAUAAAUUGUUCAAAUUCCAUAAAAUAUUUCCUGUUUAAUCUAAAAUUUGCACUUUCCUAACAGAACUGUUAUGUCCUCAGAACUUGCUCUCUGGUUCACUGCUUAAAAUUUUUUAUUUUAUUGUAUUUUAUUUAUUUUGAAGAUUUUAUUUUGAGUGCACCUGGGUGGCUCAGUCGGUUAAGCAUUUGCCUCCUGCUCAGGUCAUGAUUCUGGGGUCCUGGG